GCGGGGGCGGCGGCUUACACAUGCAAGUCGAGCGGGGGAAGGUAGCUUGCUACUGGACCUAGCGGCGGACGGGUGAGUAAUGCUUAGGAAUCUGCCUAUUAGUGGGGGACAACAUCUCGAAAGGGAUGCUAAUACCGCAUACGUCCUACGGGAGAAAGCAGGGGAUCUUCGGACCUUGCGCUAAUAGAUGAGCCUAAGUCGGAUUAGCUAGUUGGUGGGGUAAAGGCCUACCAAGGCGACGAUCUGUAGCGGGUCUGAGAGGAUGAUCCGCCACACUGGGACUGAGACACGGCCCAGACUCCUACGGGAGGCAGCAGUGGGGAAUAUUGGACAAUGGGGGGAACCCUGAUCCAGCCAUGCCGCGUGUGUGAAGAAGGCCUUAUGGUUGUAAAGCACUUUAAGCGAGGAGGAGGCUACUUUAGUUAAUACCUAGAGAUAGUGGACGUUACUCGCAGAAUAAGCACCGGCUAACUCUGUGCCAGCAGCCGCGGUAAUACAGAGGGUGCGAGCGUUAAUCGGAUUUACUGGGCGUAAAGCGUGCGUAGGCGGCUUAUUAAGUCGGAUGUGAAAUCCCCGAGCUUAACUUGGGAAUUGCAUUCGAUACUGGUGAGCUAGAGUAUGGGAGAGGAUGGUAGAAUUCCAGGUGUAGCGGUGAAAUGCGUAGAGAUCUGGAGGAAUACCGAUGGCGAAGGCAGCCAUCUGGCCUAAUACUGACGCUGAGGUACGAAAGCAUGGGGAGCAAACAGGAUUAGAUACCCUGGUAGUCCAUGCCGUAAACGAUGUCUACUAGCCGUUGGGGCCUUUGAGGCUUUAGUGGCGCAGCUAACGCGAUAAGUAGACCGCCUGGGGAGUACGGUCGCAAGACUAAAACUCAAAUGAAUUGACGGGGGCCCGCACAAGCGGUGGAGCAUGUGGUUUAAUUCGAUGCAACGCGAAGAACCUUACCUGGCCUUGACAUACUAGAAACUUUCCAGAGAUGGAUUGGGUGCCUUCGGGAAUCUAGAUACAGGUGCUGCAUGGCUGUCGUCAGCUCGUGUCGGGAAAAGUUGGGGUUAAGUCCCCGCAACGAAGGCAACCCUUUUUCUUUACUUGCCAGCUUUUCGGAGGGGAACUUUAAG
rnacentral:rRNA from 1 species